CACUCUUGGAGCUGAGUGGGAGCAUCAGCAGGAAGGGGACAGUGUGGAUCCAGGAUGCUUGGAAAAGAGGUUUCAGGGAAUGCCAGGCUCUGGGGGGGUGUGCAAUGAAACCUUAGGGCUGGAGCAGGGCUCAGCCUCUGGCUACACCCUGGCGCAAAGUGAGGCCACGCUUCCAGUUUAUACAGUUUAAUACAUGUGAAACAAGAUACAUUUCCUUUUGAGUAAUGAAUGCAUAAAUAACAGAAGAUAUAUGUGGAUGCAUAAAUAUGAGGCAUGGAAUGAACCAAACAAAACCCAUUGCUUUCACUGGUUCAACAGUUACUGCUUUAACUGGUUGUUUUCCCCCUGUCUUCUCAUCCAGCGCUGGUGGCGCAUCCUCGUGACAGGCUGGGCGCUGCUCUGAUGGAACAUGGUGAAGCUGUCCCACGGUGAAAGGUUGGGAUGAGGGUGAGGAGAGGGCAGGAUCGGAGGCUACAAGAGAAAAACCAACCCCCAAACUGCAAAAUAAGAGAGAAGAAACGGAGUUAAAGGUGACCUGGAAUCCUCUGGAGGCUCCGCUGGCGAUGGGAGGUGGAUGCGGCCAUGAGGGACAACUUCUCAAGUACAAAAGAACGGUUCAAGCAUCAGCUGUGCCCAGAAGCUGGUGGGAUGACGGUGGAGGGAAGGAGAGGAAGGAAAUGGAGGUGAAUGAAGAAAGAAGAGGAACCAGUUGGAAAACGCAUGGCCGUAAUCAUUAGUUCCACAUAAAGCCCAAGGAAACACCACCCGGUUGCAGAGUCACAUGUAAUGCAAAACCCAGACUCGUUUCUCUAUAAAAAUAUGUGCAUUAUGAAGAGAGAGUUUUUUUUUGUGGGUAUAUAUCUUCUUUUUUUGGUCUUUUUUUCCUUUUUUCUCCUUGUUUUGUAUCUCACAAAUACAGGAUUUCUAUGUAUAUAAGUGCUGAUAUACAGACAAUGUACAGCUCCCCCCGGGCCCUCCCGCCUCACGGGACGUCUCUAAAAGGUGCCUUGUUAAAAGUUGAGCAUCUUUAAAAAACCCUCCCCCAAAACCAAC
rnacentral:lncRNA from 1 species